UUUAAAGCCCUCCCUCCUUCCCUACAGAGGCAUGAUGAGCGGAUGGAAGAUGGGCGGAGCUACACGAACUAAAGGGGGCGGGGUUACACGAACGAAAAGGGGCGGGGCUAAACGGGAUCCCCAAGCUGAGGCAGAUCCCUUCCCUCCAACCAGCCUGUGAUACUGUCUGUAAGUGGAUGGAAAAAAGGGUCCCAAGAUGAGCAACUUAAAGGACAUUUGAUGUCUCAAGACCAGACACAUGAUACAGAAAACUUGCUGCAAUAAAAAUGUUAGUUUUUUU